GGAGUUCGGGGCCUGAAUUCGCCAGCUAGAAGAGCCGCUGUUGCUGAAAUUGCUGCUUGCCAUCGCCUUGGUAUCCUAUGUCUGCAAGAAACAAAAAUCUCCACCUGGACUGCUGAUUUGGCCAAAGAAGUUGGCGGUGCAAAACUUAGAGACUGCGUUGUGCUGCCUGCUCUUGACACUAGAGGGGGUGCUGCCAUCUUCUGGGACCCUGAUAUUGUGGAGAUCAACUCCCAUGCAAUUGGACAGUUUGCUAUAACUGCUUAA
rnacentral:rRNA from 1 species